rnacentral:rRNA from 1 species
CGAGGGGCAGCAUGAUUGAAGCUUGCUUCAUCGAUGGCGACCGGCGCACGGGUGAGUAACACGUAUCCAACCUGCCGAUAACUCGGGGAUAGCCUUUCGAAAGAAAGAUUAAUACCCGAUAGCAUAGUAUUUCCGCAUGGUUUCACUAUUAAAGAACUUCGGUUAUCGAUGGGGAUGCGUUCCAUUAGAUAGUUGGCGGGGUAACGGCCCACCAAGUCAACGAUGGAUAGGGGUUCUGAGAGGAAGGUCCCCCACAUUGGAACUGAGACACGGUCCAAACUCCUACGGGAGGCAGCAGUGAGGAAUAUUGGUCAAUGGACGAGAGUCUGAACCAGCCAAGUAGCGUGAAGGAUGACUGCCCUAUGGGUUGUAAACUUCUUUUAUACGGGAAUAAAGUGGAGUAUGCAUACUCCUUUGUAUGUACCGUAUGAAUAAGGAUCGGCUAACUCCGUGCCAGCAGCCGCGGU